rnacentral:rRNA from 1 species
GAUGAACGCUGGCGGCGUGCCUAAUACAUGCAAGUCGAGCGAACGGACGAGAAGCUUGCUUCUCUGAUGUUAGCGGCGGACGGGUGAGUAACACGUGGAUAACCUACCUAUAAGACUGGGAUAACUUCGGGAAACCGUAGCUAAUACCGGAUAAUAUUUUGAACCGCAUGGUUCAAAAGUGAAAGACGGUCUUACUGUUACUUAUAGAUGGAUCCGCGCUGCAUUAUCUAGUUGGUAAGGUAACGGCUUACCAAGGCAACGAUGCAUAGCCGACCUGAGAGGGUGAUCGGCCACACUGGAACUGAGACACGGUCCAGACUCCUACGGGAGGCAGCAGUAGGGAAUCUUCCGCAAUGGGCGAAAGCCUGACGGAGCAACGCCGCGUGAGUGAUGAAGGUCUUCGGAUCGUAAAACUCUGUUAUUAGGGAAGAACAUAUGUGUAAGUAACUGUGCACGUCUUGACGGUACCUAAUCAGAAAGCCACGGCUAACUACGUG